rnacentral:rRNA from 1 species
UACGAAGGGGACUAGCGUUGUUCGGAAUCACUGGGCGUAAAGCGCGCGUAGGCGGAUGUGUCAGUCAGGGGUGAAAUCCCGGGGCUCAACCUCGGAACUGCCUUUGAUACAGCACGUCUCGAGUCCGGAAGAGGUGGGUGGAAUUCCUAGUGUAGAGGUGAAAUUCGUAGAUAUUAGGAAGAACACCGGUGGCGAAGGCGGCCCACUGGUC